UGGCGGACUGCGUUGUUUGGCGACCCCCGUGAAAUGGUCGUUUGACCCCAAAUGAAGUCGCGACCCACAGGUUGAGAACCGCUACUAUAUACAAUUAAUAACAAUCUUAUCGAUAAUCCAAGGUUUUAUAUUGAUUCAGAAAAAUCGUGACUUCCACUAAUACUUUUAGGUCCACAAAUCACUCUCAACUGGAAACUCAGGCCCAGCAGCUCUGACCCCAGUCCUCAGGAUAUAUAUUCUAUGAAAUUAAUCUUUAAAAGCUCUAGUCUGAAAAAAUAUGAUUAAAACAUUUAUAUAACCACUUUUUUGUACCAAAUGUAGGGCAGCUUAUAACUUAGAGAUAUGACCACUUAUAUGUACAAUAAUAUUAAAACCAAAGUAAUUAACCUCCCCCAAAUACUAAAAUCAAAAGCCUGACACCACAACUACUGUAAAUUUAGUUCCCUCUAUUCCAGCACUUUGAAGGGGCGGAGCCAGAUCUUGAUUGAUUUUCAGAAGGUUAAAAGGGUGAGAUCCUUUCAGGAGAAAGGAUUAAUAUGAAUACCCUGUAUUAAUAAGUUCUGAAUUAUUGCUGAAUUCUUCUUCAUAUCCUUACAGCUUUAACAGUUUUUCAAAAGUUUUUUUUUUUAUUUCAGAUGCAUGCUUGUCUAUAAAAGAUAAAUAAAUCCUCAGUCCAGCUGAAAGACGGAGAGGUGGCCCAGCAACCCAAUCUGGCAGCUGAGCAGAGGCGGUGAGGUGCAAACGGAAGCUCUUGAGUAGAGGUGAAACAGAACUAGGUGGCAGCAGACGAGCGGCUGAGAGCAGCACAGAAGACCCUGAGCAGCAGCUGUACAGAGUUAAGUGGCAGAGGAGCAGAAUGCCCGGAGCAGUGACUGAAAGGAGCACAGCAGUGGCUGAGAGCAGCAUGGCAGAUCAACUGAUCAGCAGCAGUGCAGAGCUAAGUAUGACAGCAGGCUGGAGUGCCCAUAGGAGUGGCUGAGAGAAGCGUGGCAGACCAGCAGUGGCUGAAAGCAGCGCAGCAGAACAGCUGAGCAGUAGCUAAGCACCCAGAUCAACACAUUGUACCUGAAAACCCCAGUAAUGGCCAGGCAACUGAAGGGCAAGAAGGCAGGGAGGAAAAGACUAACGUUGUUCUUUCAGGGCACAGCAUGUCAGGUCCACUAUGCUGGUGUCCUGUCAUUCUGUUGGAGAGGAAGGAGGAAGGUUUCUGGCAUUCUGAAGGAAGAAAGAAAAGAAGGAAAGAAGGAAAGAAGGAGAGGGAGAGUCUGAGGGAAGACCUGC